AUCUAAUUAGUGACGUGCAUGAAUUGAGGAACGAGAUUCCCACUGUCCCUACCUACUAUUUAGCGAAACUACAGCCAAGGGAACGGGGAUCAGCGGGGAAAGAAGACCCCGUUGAGCUUGACUCUAGUCUGCAACCGAGAAGAGACAUGAGAGGUAUAGGAUAAGUGGGAGGCCCCUGACCGGCGCGCCCGGCUCCGCUCCUUCGCGGGGGGGCUAGCCGUCCGGGCACGGCAAAAAGGGGACACCACCGGUGAAAUACCACUACUCUUAUCAUUUUUUCACUUACCCGGUGAGGCGGGGGGCGAGCACCUGAGGGGGCUCUUGUUUCUGGCUCCAAGCGGCCCUUCCCCCUCAAAACCAUAACGCAGGUGUCCUAAGGCGAGCUUGGGGAGGACAGAAACCUCCCAUAGAGCAGAAGGGCGAAACCUCUCUUGAUCUUGAUUUACAGUGUGAAUACAGACCGUGAAAGCGGGGCCUCACGAUCCUUCCGACCUUUGGGGUUUUAAGUAGGAGGUGUCAGAAAAGUUAUCACAAGAAUAAGUGGCUUCUGGCGGCCAAUCGUUCCUAGCGACGUCGCUUUUUGAUCCUUCAAUGGUGGCUCUUUUUAUCAUUGUGAAGCAGAAUUCACCAAGCGUUGGAUUGUUCACCCACUAAUAGGGAACGUGAGCUGGGUUUAGACCGUAGUAAGAC
rnacentral:rRNA from 2 species